rnacentral:rRNA from 1 species
UACGGAGGGUGCAAGCGUUACUCGGAAUCACUGGGCGUAAAGAGCGCGUAGGCGGGAUAGCAAGUCAGAUGUGAAAUCCUAUGGCUUAACCAUAGAACUGCAUUUGAAACUGUUAUUCUAGAGUAUGGGAGAGGUAGGUGGAAUUCUUGGUGUAGCGGUGAAAUGCAUAGAUAUCACGCAGAACUCCGAUUGCGAAGGCAGCUUACUAAGCCAUAACUGACACUGAAGCACGAAAGCGUGGGGAUCAAACAGG